rnacentral:lncRNA from 1 species
GUCCGGAUCAACAGUACUCCUCCGUGCAUAUAAAUUCAUAUGCGGGUGAAAACAGAGCAACGGCGAAGACGGUGGAUCACGAAUGGGCGCGUACACAUUAAGUCCAUACGGGUGUUUAUAAAGCAGGAGUGCAAACGUAAUUUCGUCGUUUUGAAUUCUUUAAAUUAUCUAAAAUGUUGAAAAAUACUAAUUUGGUAAAAGGAAAAAUCGGUCGUAGUUUCGGUAAAUCUGCCGCG